UGAUCUCCAAGAAUGCUCAUUCCAAGGGAAGCCAACAUCCAUCGCAUGAGGAUUCUCAAAAGCUGCAUGGAAAUAGUGAUGUGGAGGGGAACCAACUUACCAACCAUGUGGAACCUGUGGCAACCCCACUUCAACCAUGCAGAUGACCACAAGGCUUUGAGGAAUGAAGAAGCAACCCAGGAAUCUGGGUCACUGAGAAGCAGAGGUACCCACUAACCUGGAAUGCUGAUCUCGUACUGAUAUAUGAGAGAGAAAUAAAGGUCUGUCAUUA